rnacentral:rRNA from 1 species
UUCGCAAUGCCCGAAAGGGUGACGAAGCGACGCCGCGUGUGGGAAGAAGGCCUUCGGGUUGUAAACCACUGUCAGGAGUUAGGAAUGGUCGGGCGUUAAUAGCGUCCGUCCUGACAAAGGCAUGAGAGGAAGUCACGGCUAACUUCGUGCCAGCAGCCGCGGUAAGACGAAGGUGGCAAGCGUUGCUCGGAAUUACUGGGCAUAAAGGGCGCGCAGGUGGCUCGGUAAGUCGGUGGUGAAAUCCUAUGGCUCAACCAUAGAAUUGCCGUCGAAACUACCGGGCUUGAGGGCAGGAGGGGAGAGUGGAACUCCUGGUGUAGCGGUGAAAUGCGUAGAUAUCAGGAGGAACGCCGGUGGCGAAAGCGACUCUCUGGACUGCUUCUGACACUGAUGCGCGAAAGCUAGGGGAGCAAACAGGAUUAGAUACCCUGGUAGUCCUAGCUGUAAACGAUGGGCACUAAGUAGAGGGGUUUU